UUUUAGUAUGCUCUACACGUUGUGUUGGGAGCCCCCUUUGACUUUACAUCUCAUGACUUUCCAAAAAUCAGGAGAUGGUGGGCACUAAUUCUUUUGGAGAACUUUGGAGUUGUCCCAGAAAGGACAGAAAACCUCUAGAAGACACUAGAGCUACAUGAAGAACAAGCUACACCCAGCAGCAGUGAGGAGCUCACUAUAAUCUAACACAUGAAACUGGCUGUAAAAUGGAUACAUGCCAAUAGACAUGUGUUCAGGGGCCCUGUGGAAGAGCCUCUUUUCCUCAGAAUGGAAGAGGAUGACAAGGAAAAGUCCCUCCAAAAUCUCAUCAAAGAUGUGGAAGACUGCAGAGACCCAUUCACAUUUAAUUUUUCAUUCAGGGAAGACAUGGAGAUUUUUUUAGUUGAAUGCCAUGAAAAAA